AUUGACCGCUGGCGGCAGGCCUAACACAUGCAAGUCGAGCGAGCGGCGGACGGGUGAGUAAUGUAUGGGGACUGCCCGAUAGAGGGGGCUAACUACUGGAACCGUUGGCUAAUACCGCAUACUAUCGGAUAACCCAUAUGGGAUUAGCUAGUCGGGGGGGUAAAGGCUCACCUAGGCGACGAUCUCUAGCUGGGCUGAGAGGAUGAUCAGCCACACUGGGACUGAGACACGGCCCAGACUCCUACGGAGGCAGCAGUGGGGAAUAUUGCACAAUGGACGAAAGCCUGAGGCAGCCAUGCCGAGGGUAUGAAGAAGGCCUUAGGGUUGUAAAGUACUUUCAGCGGGGAGGCGUUACCCGCAGAAGAAGCACCGGAUAACUCCGUGCCAGCAGCCGCGGUAAUUC
rnacentral:rRNA from 1 species